CAAUAAGCGGAGGAAAAGAAACUAACAAGGAUUCCCCUAGUAACUGCGAGUGAAGCGGGAAAAGCUCAAAUUUAAAAUCUGGCAGUUUCACUGUCCGAGUUGUAAUCUAGAGAAGUGUUAUCCGCGUUGGACCGUGUACAAGUCUCCUGGAAUGGAGCGUCAUAGAGGGUGAGAAUCCCGUCUUUGACACGGACUACCAAGGCUUUGUGAUGCGCUCUCAAAGAGUCGAGUUGUUUGGGAAUGCAGCUCAAAAUGGGUGGUAAAUUCCAUCUAAAGCUAAAUAUUGGCGAGAGACCGAUAGCGAACAAGUACCGUGAGGGAAAGAUGAAAAGAACUUUGGAAAGAGAGUUAAACAGUACGUGAAAUUGCUGAAAGGGAAACGCUUGAAGUCAGUCGCGUUGGCUGGAAAUCAACCUUACUUUUGUUGGGUGUACUUUCUAGUUGACGGGUCAGCAUCAAUUUUGAUCAUUGGAUAAAGUCUUUGGGAAUGUGGCUUCCUCGGAAGUGUUAUAGCCCUUGGUCGCAUACAAUGGUUGGGAUUGAGGAACUCAGCACGCCGCAAGGCCGGGUUUUACCACGUUCGUGCUUAGGAUGCUGGCAUAAUGGCUUUAAUCGACCCGUCUUGAAACACGGACCAAGGAGUCUAACAUGCCUGCGAGUGUUUGGGUGGAAAACCCGAGCGCGUAAUGAAAGUGAAAGUUGAGAUCCCUGUCGUGGGGAGCAUCGACGCCCGGACCAGACCUUCUGUGACGGAUCCGCGGUAGAGCAUGUAUGUUGGGACCCGAAAGAUGGUGAACUAUGCCUGAAUAGGGUGAAGCCAGAGGAAACUCUGGUGGAGGCUCGUAGCGAUUCUGACGUGCAAAUCGAUCGUCAAAUUUGGGUAUAGGGGCGAAAGACUAAUCGAACCAUCUAGUAGCUGGUUCCUGC
rnacentral:sRNA from 1 species